rnacentral:lncRNA from 1 species
CAAGCCAGCCUUCCCAGCAGCCUUCAGUGCAGGCAGCCAUUCCCCAGACCCAGCUUAUGCUAGCUGGAGGACAGAUAACUGGGCUUACUUUGACGCCUGCCCAGCAACAGUUACUACUCCAGCAGGCACAGGCACAGGCACAGCUGCUGGCUGCUGCAGUGCAGCAGCACUCCGCCAGCCAGCAGCACAGUGCUGCUGGAGCCACCAUCUCCGCCUCUGCUGCCGCGCCCAUGACGCAGAUCCCCCUGUCUCAGCCCAUACAGAUCGCACAGGAUCUUCAACAACUGCAACAGCUUCAACAGCAGAAUCUCAACCUGCAACAGUUUGUGUUGGUGCAUCCAACCACCAAUUUGCAGCCAGCGCAGUUUAUCAUCUCACAGACGCCCCAGGGCCAGCAGGGUCUCCUGCAAGCGCAAAAUCUUCUAACGCAACUACCUCAGCAAAGCCAAGCCAACCUCCUACAGUCGCAGCCAAGCAUCACCCUCACCUCCCAGAUCUGGCCCAGUCCAGCCUGAGGUUUCUGGAGCUGGGGUAACUUAUCUGUAACCACCCCAUCUAAAGCCAGCAACCCCAACACGCACAAUAGCAGCAACCCCAAUUCAGACACUUCCACAGAGCCAGUCAACACCAAAGCGAAUUGAUACUCCCAGCUUGGAGGAGCCCAGUGACCUUGAGGAGCUUGAGCAGUUUGCCAAGACCUUCAAACAAAGACGAAUCAAACUUGGAUUCACUCAGGGUGAUGUUGGGCUCGCUAUGGGGAAACUAUAUGGAAAUGACUUCAGCCAAACUACCAUCUCUCGCUUUGAAGCCUUGAACCUCAGCUUUAAGAACAUGUGCAAGUUGAAGCCACUUUUAGAGAAGUGGCUAAAUGAUGCAGAGAACCUCUCAUCUGAUUCGUCCCUCUCCAGCCCAAGUGCCCUGAAUUCUCCAGGAAUUGAGGGCUUGAGCCGUAGGAGGAAGAAACGCACCAGCAUAGAGACCAACAUCCGUGUGGCCUUAGAGAAGAGUUUCUUGGAGGUCAGUGAGGAUUUUACUUUUCUGUACAUGGG